GUGUAUUUUAAUUUAACAAUUCGAGUGCAUUGCAUUGAACUUACAAAUUGAGGUUUGUGUGGAUCCUAAUAGAGGUUAAUGAAAGAUCCUCUAGUUCUCGAGCUAACAACAAAGCCUAUUCAAUAUAAAGAUUCAAUCUUUAUGCCCUAUUUCAUAUAAAGAUCGAAUCUUUCAACAAGUAGAAUGAGAUUCGAGUGUUUUGAGACUUGUUAUUGAUUUUACUAUCCACAAACACAUCAUUUGCUUUAUAAUUUUUUUUUAGUUUUUAAUGAUAUGGGGGUCCUAUUAUGUUUGUGAGUCUAAUUCCCUCAAAUCAGGUGUGUGUGUGUUUUAAUUUAACAAUUCGAGUGCAUUGCAUUGAACUUACAAAUUGAGGUUUUUGUGGAUCCUAAUAGAGGUUAAUGAAAGAUCCUUAGUUCUCGAGCUAACAACAAAGCCUAUUCAAUAUAAAGAUUCAAUCUUUAUGCCCUAUUUCAUAUAAAGAUCGAAUCUUUCAACAAGUAGAAGUGAGAUUCGAGUGUUUUAGACUUGUUAUUGAUUUUACUAUCCACAAACACAUCAUUUGCUUUAUAAUUUUUUUUUAGUUUUUAAUGAUAUGGGGGUCCUAUUAUGUUUGUGAGUCUAAUUCCCUCAAAUCAGGUGUGUGUGUAUUUUAAUUUAACAAUUCGAGUGCAUUGCAUUGAACUUACAAAUUGAGGUUUGUGUGGAUCCUAAUAGAGGUUAAUGAAAGAUCCUUUAGUUCUCGAGCUAACAACAAAGCCUAUUCAAUAUAAAGAUUCAAUCUUUAUGCCCUAUUUCAUAUAAAGAUCGAAUCUUUCAACAAGUAGAAGUGAGAUUCGAGUGUUUUGAGACUUGUUAUUGAUUUUACUAUCCACAAACACAUCAUU